rnacentral:tRNA from 1 species
GGGGAUUUAGCUCAGUGGUAGAGCACUUGCCUAGCAAGCUCAAGGCCCGGUCCUCAGCUCCGAUUUAAAAAAAAAAAUCCUUGGGUUCAAUUCCCAGCACCUUCU